UGAUAUGCUUGUUUUAAAGAUUAAGCCAUGCAUGCAUCAGUACANGCCUYAACAAGGUGAAACCGCGAAUGGCUCAUUAAAUCAGUCAUGAUUUACUGGCCGAGACUGCGAUACAUGGAUAACUGUGGUAAUUCUAGAGCUAAUACAUGCAACCGAGUCUCCGCCCGUGCUUUCUGGGUACGGCGAGACGCUUUUAUUAGCUGAAAACCAACAACGGUUAGCCGGCUUGCCGGCGCCGUUUGUUAUCCGUUGAAUCACAGUAACAUUGUGUGGAUCGUACGGUCUUGCACCGACGACGCGCCUUACAAAUGUCUGCCCUAUCAGCUCUCGACGGUUCGGUAGAGGCUGACCGUGGCUGUGACGGGUAACGGGGAAUCUGGGUUCGAUUCCGGAGAGGGAGCCUGAGAAACGGCUGCCACAUCUAAGGAAGGCAGCAGGCGCGUAACUUACCCACUCCCAGUUCAGGGAGGUAGUGACAAUAAAUACCUUACAGAGUGCCGUUCAGCGGCAACUCUCAAACGGAAUGAGUACAACGUGAAUCCUUUAACGAGGAUCAACUGGAGGGCAAGCCUGGUGCCAGCAGCCGCGGUAAUUCCAGCUCCAGUAGCGUAUAUUAAAGCUGUUGCGGUUAAAAAGCUCGUAGUUGGAUACCAGUGCGUGUCCACGUCCGGUAUGCCCGGUUGGCGGCUGGUGUUGCAGUCGGUGUCGUGUGUCACUUGUGGCCGCGGUGUCGGCGGGCGCUGGUUGUUGGCCGGGCUUCCAAAUAUCGGCUGGCCGCAUUCAAUCGUGCCGGCUUCGGUGACGGGCCGCUCUUUCGAGGGGCCUGUUGGCGACCGGCGACGAUACCUUGAACAAAUUAGAGUGCUCAAGGCAGGCUAUCUACGCCUGAAUAGCGAUUCAUGGAAUUGGAGAAUACGUCCCUGGCUUGGUUGUUUGGUUGGUUGAGCAAGCCGAUGGGAAAUGAUUAACAGGGACUGACGGAGGCAUUCGUAUUGCGACGAAAGGGGUGAAAUCCAAUGACCGUCGCACGACGAACUACUGCGAAAGCAUUUGCCGAGAAUGUUUUCAUUAGUCAAGAACGAAAGUUAGAGGUUCGAAGGCGAUCAGAUACCGCCCUAGUUCUAACCGUAAACGAUGUCGACCAGCAAUCCGCAACGGUCAAUCUGUGGACUGUGCGGGCAGCUUUCCCCGGGGAAACCAGAGUUUCCUGACUCCGGGGGGAGUAUAGGUGCAAAACAGAAACUUAAAGGAAUUGACGGAAGGGCACCACCAGGAGUGGAGCUUGCGGCUUAAUUUGACUCAACACGGGACAACUCACCAGGCCCGGACACUGUAAGGAUUGACAGACUGAGAGCUCUCUCUUGAUUCAGUGGGUGGUGGUGCAUGGCCGUUCUUAGUUGGUGGAGUGAUUUGUCUGGUUUAUUCCGAUAACGAACGAGACUCUGGCCUACUAAACUUGACGAGCAUCGUGCCGUUUACGUGCACGGUGCCGCGCUUCUUAGAGGGAUCAUCGGCGUUUACCAGCCGAAGGAAAGAGAGCAAUAACAGGUCUGUGAUGCCCUUAGAUGUUCUGGGCUGCCCGCGUGUUACACUGAAGCGGUCAGCGCGCCGUCCGACGUCCCUAUCCGUCAGGAACGGGCAAACGUCUGAACCCGCUUCGUGAUGGGAAUUGGGGGUUGCAAUUGUCCCCCAUCAACGAGGAAUUCCAAGUAAGCGCAGGUCACUAGCCUGCGUUGAUUAAGUCCCUGCCCUUUGUACACACCGCCCGUCGCUACUACCGAUGGAUGAUUUGGUGAGGUCGCCUAGACUGGCCGCAUCGACUUCGGUCGUGCGGUCGGAAAGGCGCCCAAACUUGGUCGUCUAGAGGAAGUAAAAGUCGUAACAAGGUUUCC
rnacentral:rRNA from 1 species